GCAUUGAUAGUGUAGCGGUUAUCAUCGGGUCUUCCCACACAGAUUGGCCUGGACCCGGGUUCGACUCCCGGUCAAUGCA